rnacentral:rRNA from 1 species
UUGACGGGGCCCGCACAAGCGGUGGAGCAUGUGGUUAAUUCGAAGCAACGCGAAGAACCUUACCAGGCCUUGACAUGCAGAGAACUUUCCAGAGAUGGAUUGGUGCCUUCGGGAACUCUGACACAGGUGCUGCAUGGCUGUCGUCAGCUCGUGUCGUGAGAUGUUGGGCUAAGUCCCGUAACGAGCGCAACCCUUGUCCUUAGUUACCAGCACGUCAAGGUGGGCACUCUAAGGAGACUGCCGGUGACAAACCGGAGGAAGGUGGGGAUGACGUCAAGUCACCAUGGCCCUUACGGCCUGGGCUACACACGUGCUACAAUGGUCGGUACAAAGGGUUGCCAAGCCGCGAGGUGGAGCUAAUCCCAUAAAACCGAUCGUAGUCCGGAUCGCAGUCUGCAACUCGACUGCGUGAAGUCGGAAUCGCUAGUAAUCGUGAAUCAGAAUGUCACGGUGAAUACGUUCCCGGGCCUU